rnacentral:rRNA from 1 species
UACGGAGGGUGCAAGCGUUAUCCGGAUUCACUGGGUUAAAGGGUGCGUAGGUGGGUCUGUAAGUCCGUGGUGAAAUCUCUAGGCUUAACCUGGAAACUGCCAUGGAUACUAUAGGUCUUGAAUACUGUGGAGGUCAGCGGAAUAUGUCAUGUAGCGGUGAAAUGCUUAGAUAUGACAUAGAACACCAAUUGCGAAGGCAGCUGGCUACACAAAUAUUGACACUGAGGCACGAAAGCGUGGGGAUCAAACAGG